CCUGCGCGGGUCCCGCCUCCGCGCUUCCGGUCUUGCGGUCUUGCGCCCUUGGUGUCUGAGACGCUCUGAGGCCUGGGUGUCUUCGAGGCGAAGCCUUGGUAAAGUCAGGAAAGGAUAUGUGAACACAGUAUUUUGCCUAUGACCAGAGGAGAUUCAUGGAUCCCCAGAACCCAUCUGCAGACUCCUAUGGGGGGAGCCACGGACCCAAGAUUAGGAAACCGUGGAUUUUAGAUAUUUUUAAAACUGGAGAGAACAAGUGAUGCAUAACAAUCUGUAAGACACUGUGUGGCUUCUCUUGUGGACCAUUUCACCUGAGCUUGAACAAUUCAAAGGACGGAAAGCUAUCUCAGGAGAUCCUAGUUCUGUUGCUGGGCAACCUCUUCUAUUGGAAUGUCUUCCUUCUAUUUGUUGGAACAAGCUAUAUAACAAGACAGUUAUCCAAAAUGGUUUUCUGUUGUCUAAAUAAGAAGAUAAAAAGGGUCCAUGUUGGGGUGCUGGUCUGACUCUGAGCACUGGACGUGGGAAGACUCCUUACCAGUCUUUAGCUCCAAUUCCACAUUUUCAACUACCUACUGGGGAACCACCCACGUGGAUAAUCUGCCUGCACCUUUCCUACUCCCGAACAGGAAUAGCCUCGGAGCUUGUAGAGCAGGCUGACGUAUAAUGAGAGCUCAAAGAAGACUGGGAAGACUAAGAACAAAGGGAAGAGGAAAAGGAGAAAAGGGAUCAAGCUGACGGGGGUGUCCUGUGGCUAUAAGAUCUUCUCAGAAUACCAGUCAAAAUAUUCUCAAAGAAACUAUACCGAGUACCGAGACUGUGAUGAAAAUUGAUUCUACAGUUUCUGUUUUUCCUGUACUAGGAGUAGGAUGAGAAUUAUGAGGAAUAUAAAAACAAAUAUGAUACAUUAUAAGGAGGCAUCACAAAAUGUACUUUAAUUAUUAUGCUUGCUAAUUUGGUAUAUAAACACAUCAAAAUUAUAUAAAUACAUUAACUAGCCUUACACAAUAGAGUAUACAGGCACUAAAAUAUUUAUAGCAGACUGUCUCUAUAUUUAUAUACAUAUAUAUAUAAAAAAUAAUGCAUCAAGACUAUGGAAAGAGCCUAGUAUUAGAGCAUUACUUUGUGGGAAAAUCAGAUUCAACUCUGUAUUAUUUCAACAUAUAGUAUGUAAGAGUAAAGUCUGAUAAAGUUCAACUAAGCUAAAAAAUUACUAUAAGCAAGUGUUUAAACAGUAACACCAAUUACCAGGUUACUUUACUGCAUUUCUAAUGAGUUAUUAAAAAACAAAAAAGGGGCACCUGGGUGGCUCAGUUGGUUAAACAGUCUGUCUUCAGCUCAGGUCAUAAUCUUGGGGUCCUGGGACUGAGCCCUGUGUCGGGUUCCCUGAUCAGUGGGGAGUCUGCUUCUCCCUCUCCCUCUACCCCUCCCUCUGCUUGUUUUCUCUCUCAAAUAAAUAAAUAAAAUCUUUAAAACAAAACAAAACAACACUGGGUCAAUUAUCAGUAUUAUAGAUGUUCUAUGUAAGGAGUACUUCAGAAUCUUUGCUAAUUUUAACAUUUAUUAAAUAAACAUGAAGGGACUAAAGGGAAAUUAAUUCCUUCACUGAUAAAUAAAUGUAUACUGUUUAAGCUCUGAUUUAAAAGGUCUUUUUCUGUGUGCUCUUGACAGCUAUUUAAGGUGUGAGUACAAAGUAUAAAUAUCCAUAAACGUUGCAGUCAUAUUGGCUCUUCAAGUCAUAUGGAGAAAUCUAAAUGAAAUGGGAAUAGAUCAUGAUGUAUUUUUACAUAU